GGAGCGGUGGCCGAGCGGUUGAAGGCGUCCGACUUGAAAUCGGAUAGGCCCGCAAGGGCCUCGCAGGUUCGAAUCCUGUCCGCUCCGC
rnacentral:tRNA from 1 species